AUGGGGGAGUCCAUCUUCGACAGCGACGUGGUGCCCUUCUCGCUCGUCGAGAUCGCGCCCAUCCUCUGGGUCGCCAACGAGGUCGAGGCCAGCAAUCCGCGCGUCGCCUACCUCUGCCGCUUCUACGCCUUUGAGAAGGCCAACCGGCUCGACCGCACCUCCAGCGGCCGUGGAGUGCGCCAGUUCAAGACCGCGCUGCUACAAAGGCUCAAGAGGGAGAACAACCCCACCCUCAAGGGGAGGGUGCACCAGAGCGAAGCGUGUGAGAUGCAGCGCUUCUACCGCGAGUACUAG
rnacentral:rRNA from 1 species